CAAUGUGAUGACAAUUUGACUGCAACAUCUGUCACCUGAUUGAGCACCAUAGUUGAUCUGGCUGAUUUAGCUGGCCAGGCAGGUUCCCCUUCUUCCCUCAAUACCUCAUCUGCAUCUAUCUCAAAGCUACAUACAUAGUGGAAGAAAGUGAUCAUCCCAGGUACCGUUCUUCGGUCAAGGGUAUACAUAGUUGGAAAUAAAUAAGGAAAAGGCAGGGCUUGGGUAACUGAUGAAGAUUACACAUUUUGGAGUUCUUUGCCUAAAAUACCCCCAAAAUGUAAAAUAAUGUUACAACUCAUUGAAUUU
rnacentral:sRNA from 1 species